CAGUCGCCGCGGUAAGACAGAGGAUGCAAGCGUUAUCCGGGAUGAUUGGGCGUAAAGCGUCUGUAGGCGGUUAUUCAAGUCAGAGGUGAAAGCCCGGGGCUCAACCCCGGAACUGCCUUUGAAACUAGAUGACUGGAAUCUUGGAGAGGUCAGUGGAAUUCCGAGUGUAGAGGUGAAAUUCGUAGAUAUUCGGAAGAACACCAGUGGCGAAGGCGACUGACUGGACAAGUAUUGACGCUGAGGUGCGAAAGCGUGGGGAGCAAACAGGAUUAGAUACCCGUGUAGUCCCUGUCUCUUAUAC
rnacentral:rRNA from 1 species